rnacentral:rRNA from 1 species
UUCCGGUUGAUCCUGCGGACCCCACUGCUAUCGGGGUGGGACUAAGGCAUGCUAGUCUGCGCCCUCCGGCCAUGGGGAGGACGCGGCGGACAGCUCCGUAACACGUAGCUAACCUACCCUCAGGACGGGGAUAACCCCGGGAAACUGGGGCUAAUCCCCGAUAGGCGAGAGGGCCUGGAUGGUCUCUCGCCUAAAGGAUGCGGGAACCAUGCCUUCCCGUAUCGCCUGAGGAUGGGGCUGCGGCCCAUCAGGUAGUUGGUGAGGUAACGGCUCACCAAGCCGAUAACGGGUACGGGCCGUGAGAGCGGGAGCCCGGAGAUGGGCACUGAGACAAGGGCCCAGGCCCUACGGGGCGCAGCAGCCGCGAAACCUCUGCAAUGCGCGCAAGCGCGACAGGGCUACCCCGAGUGCCACCCGCUGAGGGUGGCUUUUCUCCGGUGUAAUGAGCCGGAGGAAUAAGGGGAGGGCAAGCCUGGUGUCAGCCGCCGCGGUAAUACCAGCUCCCCGAGUGGUGGGGACGAUUAUUGGGCCUAAAGCGUCCGUAGCCGGUCUGGCAAGUCCCCCGUUAAAUCCAACGAUCUAAUCGUUGGACUGCGGGGGAUACUGCCAGACUAGGGGGCGGGAGAGGCCGACGGUACUCCUGGGGUAGGGGUGAAAUCCUAUAAUCCCAGGAGGACCACCAGUGGCGAAGGCGGUCGGCUAGAACGCGCCCGACGGUGAGGGACGAAAGCUGGGGGAGCGAUCCGGAUUAGAUACCCGGGUAGUCCCAGCCGUAAACGAUGCGGGCUAGGUGUUGGCGUGACCACGAGUCACGCCAGUGCCGCAGGGAAGCCGUUAAGCCCGCCGCCUGGGGAGUACGGUCGCAAGACUGAAACUUAAAGGAAUUGGCGGGGGAGCACAGCAACGGGAGGAGCGUGCGGUUUAAUUGGAUCAACGCCGGAAAU